GACGAACGCUGGCGGCGUGCUUAACACAUGCAAGUCGAACGGAAAGGCCCUGCUUUUGUGGGGUGCUCGAGUGGCGAACGGGUGAGUAACAUGUGAGUCACCUGCCCUUGACUUUGGGAUAACUUCAGGCAACUGGGGCUAAUACCGGAUAGGAGCUCCUGCUGCAUGGUGGGGGUUGGAAAGUUUCGGCGGUUGUGGAUGGACUCGGGGCUUAUCAGCUUGUUGGUGGGGUAGUGGCUUACCAAGGCUUUGACGGGUAGCCGGCCUGGGAGGGUGACCGGCCACAUUGGGACUGAGAGACGGCCCAGACUCCAACGGGAGGCAGCAGUGGGAAAUAUUGCACAAUGGGCGGAAGCCUGAGGCAGCAACGCCGCGUGCGGGAUGACGGCCUUCGGGUUGUAAACCGCUUUCGCCUGUGACGAAGCGUGAGUGACGGUAAUGGGUAAAGAAGCACCGGCUAACUACGUG
rnacentral:rRNA from 1 species